CUGUUUCUGACUUUAUUAAUCUCAGGAGGUCUCUCUUCUUUUUGCUCUGCUGCUUCAAGCCUUUGGCAUCCAGUGCCUUGUACUUAAUGAAAGUUUGCAACACUCUGAGCAACUGUUCUCAGUUCUUCUGCCUUAUUUCUGGCCUCCGUUGCAACUGUUUUGACCUAGUGAAGGCCUAGACUUUCUCAGACAGAUUUCUUUUAACUCUUCUGCCCUGACUCCAGUCUUCACUGGGAUGCUGCCUUGCACUUAGGGAAGGUUCACAUGCCUCAAGGAUCUCUCUCUCUCAGAUUUCUUGACUUUCCCUCAGUCUUCAGUAUAGUCCUCCUCUGUGCCUGGUGAAGACCUGUGGUAAAGUGCUGGCAGAGCUGCCGGCUUCCCCUUGAAGGAAUAGGAGUAGACCUGCUGAACUAUCACAUGAGAGAAGAGGCCCAAAAGCUUGCACACUACAGUCAAGCUGGCCCUUAAAGAGAUGGACCUAGAAGAUGCUGAGCCAGAUGUACUCAAUUACUUCUCCAAAAUUCAUCAAUUAGGAAUACAACAUGUUUAAGACCACAGAACAUCUGCAUAGGCUGUAAAUUUCGUUGAAUGAUGGAUGCAAAGAUGGAAGACAGAUGGAUAGAGGAAAAGACAGAAUCAGAUACUGGAUGAGUUAGUACUGCUGCCUGUGCUUCAGAGCUGUCUUAUUACCACAAGGCCGGCAAGCAUCAAUGUCCCCACAUCCCCCUCUGCCUCCCCCUGAAAUGUACCGAUUUAUAUGAAAAUUAAGAUUACAAAUUAAAGCCUGGCUAUCCUGGAGUUUUCCAGUUCAUCAGCCAUCCAAUAAAAAUGAUGUCAAGCCUGUAUGCAUAAUUCCCGGAAGAUUACUUUCGUCCUUACAGCUAAGCCCUGUCCCUGAUAUGAAAGAUCUCUAUCCACUUUUAUUGAAAUAAAGAACUAACAUCAUAAUCCCAAUAUUGAGGUAUAAUCUUCAUUAUCUCCUGACCCUCUUGAGGUUCCCCCAAUCUAUAUUACUUCAGAUUUGGUUUAUGUGUAAUCCUUAUGUAUUUACUUUUAUUGAGAUAGGAUUAAAAACUAAAAAAAAAGCUUCAAAAAAUCCUUAUGAUCUCAUGAUUGAGUUUCAUUUCACCAACAAUCAACUAAUGUGUUAGACUGAGUUUUUUUUUAAGUGCUUCUUAUAGUUAUAUAGUCCAAGCUUGAAAAGGCAUUAAUUGGUCCCAUGUGUUUCCUGUUUCAUUACAUGAAUUAUUUCCAAUUCAACUUGGUUUGUGAAAUAAUGGCAUCAUCUUCUUUUCCUAUUAGAAAAGGUGUGGGAGGGGGAUGUAUGAAAAGAUAAGCAUACACAUAAAAUAAUCCAAAGUAACUUAAAUCUCUUUUCUUAGGAAGUUUUGAUUCAUACCUAUAGUUAAUUACUGGUAAACCACAAUCUACCAACCUUUUCUUUCCCCCAGAGCCUUAAUAGCCUCUGGCUAUGCCUCGGGCUGUUAACUACCAAACUAGUCAUUAAUGCUGGUCAAGAUGAUUUCUUGGAGAUUAUUGCUCAUUUAUUUUUUUAACAGACAAAACAGAAUUUGCUUUGCACAUGGACUAAAAUAAUACUUCAGCCAUUUUUUUCCUUUCAAAAACAUAAACACUGAUGAAAAUCACAUUGUACUGUGGUAUUUUCAAAGCAUUUCAUAUGUUAUUUUAGCUGUAUUUUCCAACUGAAAACUGGAUUUGCAAUGCUCAGGAUUUCCCUGGUAAUCAUCAUGUUUGCUUAUUGUUUGCUAUUAUAUUUGGUAAAACACAUCUUGAUUAAGAGAUUUGAUGUGUUCUCUAUUUACCUGUGCCUCUUAUUUUUACCUUUUGUCCAAGGAUAUGUUAGGAAGAUAUUUGUUUUUUUAGAAUUGAAAACAGGGUAUGGAAAUAGAAAUACUUCACUAUUGGCAUAAAACAGCACUGGAGUGUUUUCUUCUUAACGUAGUAUUUAUUGUUUGAAAAGAAUUCUUAUUCUAUUGGUGUUUUUUUUUUUUCUUUUUUUUUUUUUUUUUUUGAGAUGGAGUCUCGCUCUGUCGCCCAGGCUGGAAUGCAGUGGCACAAUCUCGGCUCACUGCAACCUCCAUCUCCCGGGUUCACGCCAUUCUUCUGCCUCAGCCCCUCCAGUAGCUGGGACUACAGGCGCCCGCCACCACGCCCGGCUAAUCUUUUGUAUUUUUAGUAAAGACGAGGUUUCACCGUGUUAGCCAGGGUGGUCUUGAUCUCCUGACCUCGUGAUCCGCCCACCUCAGCCUCCCAAAGUGCUGGGAUUACAGGCGUGAGCCACCGCACCCUGCCUAUUCUAUCGUUAUUGAUAUAAAAUGGGAUUCAUUAUAAUUUUUAUUGGCUCAAUUAUUCCUCAUCUGUGAACCACUCAUUUUCAUUCAUUCGUGCUUUUACUUGAGCACCUGCUAUUGCCUGGGCACAUUCAGAGACAAAUUAGAGAAUGGAGAAAAAACUGGAAAGACAAAAACAAUCUAUGAUCACUCAGUCAUCUUUCUGCCAAAAAAUAAUAUUCAAACAUAAAAACACGUAUUGGAAUGAUUAGGCUUAUUAAAAUGUUUACUCAACAACUAAAAAGGAAGUGGAUGAAACAAUAUUUUGGUACCCUUAAUAUUUUCUGGUUAUCAGUUUAUUUCUGUGAAUUUCCUUAUUUUACUCUCGCAACAACUCUACAGUUCCUUAAAGCAACCUUAUACUUACACCUAUUUUGUGGAUGUGGAAAUUAAGACUUUAGAAUUGCUGAAGAUAUAGAAGAAACAAGAAGGUACUGGAAGAAAAAUGCAGAAAAGAAAGCUUCAGGGGUUCAAAUACAACAAUGCUCGUUUACUUAGCACCUUAAUUCCCGCACUUGCUUAUAGACAGAAAAUGCCUCCUUCCUUUCUUUUGAAAGCUGUGGCUCAAGAUGGCAGGACACCCCACAGAGUCCCAGUUUAGAUCUUGAAACAGGUAGAGUAAGAAUGGUUUUGGUUAGGUAGGUUUAACCUACCAACUGGAGGUUUAUUUGAAUUACAUCUAAAUAUUAUUUAUAGGAGCAAGUCUGCCAGUUAUUAAUAAUUUAUGAAAGUUGCUUAUUACCAGCUAUAAUGUAGGUUUUAUUGACCGAUAGAUUUAACUAUGGGAAGAAGUAGCAGAAAGAGAAAAGGAAGUGAAAAGGUGAUAUGGGAGUGUGGCUUAUUUUGAAAGAAUUCUAGUUUUGGCCAGGGUGUAUAAUGUAAGCUAGAAAAUAAUAAUACUGAGCACCAGGGAUGAGUGAAGAAUUCAUUUAUGUCUUUGGCUUAGUCCAGCGCUAUUUGACUUAAGACAGUGUGUAUGGUGUCCUGGAAAGGUUUAUAAUUUAUAAAGCUUUGAAUUCUCAGGGAUAAGCCAUGAAUUACAGGGUGAUUUCAAAAGCUUUACAUUCUAAGAUAAGCCACUAUUAUGCUUUUUCCUCAUUAAAGACAGGAGCUUCUGUUUUUUAGCAAAACUGACCCAAAUGUCUUUUAAUAAGAAUUGUACUGGCAUGCAAAAAUUUAAACUAUAAAUACAGUCUGUUUUCAUUAUUCAGGGUACCCAAUUAUUAUAACAACUACUUUACAUUAUGAAAAUAAAAUUCAAGUCAGUAAUAAAAAAUACUUUUUUUCUUGAAC
rnacentral:lncRNA from 1 species